GACGAACGCUGGCGGCGUGCUUAACACAUGCAAGUCGAACGAAGUGGCGAACGGGUGAGUAAUACGUGGGUAACCUGCCCUCCUUUUUGGGAUAAGCCUUGGAAACGGGGUCUAAUACCCAAUAAAGGGGGUUGGGGUCGCGGCCUAUCAGCUUGUUGGUGGGGUGAUGGCCUACGAAGGCGGUGACGGGUAGCCGGCCUGGGAGGGUGACCGGCCACAAUGGGACUGAGGUACGGACCAGACGCGUACGGGGGGCAGCAGGGGGGGAUAUGGCACAAUGGGCGAAAGCCUGAGGCAGCGACGCCGGGGGCGGGAUGACGGCCUUCGGGUUGUAAACCGCUUUCAGCCAUGACGCGGUAGUGGCAGAAGAAGCACCGGCUAACUACGUGCCAGCAGCCGCGGUAAUUC
rnacentral:rRNA from 1 species